GAACUGAAGAGUUUGAUCCUGGCUCAGAUUAAACGCUGGCGGCAUGCCUUACACAUGCAAGUCGAACGGCAGCACGGGGGCAACCCUGGUGGCGAGUGGCGGACGGGUGAGUAAAGCAUCGGAACGUAUCCUGGAGUGGGGGAUAACGUAGCGAAAGUUACGCUAAUACCGCAUAUUCUGUGAGCAGGAAAGCAGGGGAUCGCAAGACCUUGCGCUCUGGGAGCGGCCGAUGUCGGAUUAGCUAGUUGGUGGGGUAAAGGCCUACCAAGGCGACGAUCCGUAGCGGGUCUGAGAGGAUGAUCCGCCACACUGGGACUGAGACACGGCCCAGACUCCUACGGG
rnacentral:rRNA from 1 species